GCAGAAAAGUCGUUGAUGUUGGA
rnacentral:piRNA from 1 species